rnacentral:rRNA from 1 species
GAUGAACGCUGGCGGCGUGCCUAAUACAUGCAAGUCGAGCGAACAGACGAGAAGCUUUCUCCUCUGACGUUAGCGGCUGACGGGUGAGUAACACGUGGAUAACCUACCUAUAAUACUGGGAUAACUUCGGGAAACCGGAGCUACUACCGGAUAAUAUAUUGAACCGCAUGGUUCAAUAGUGAAAGACGGUUUUGCUGUCACUUAUAGAUGGAUCCGCGCUGCAUUAGCUAGUUGGUAAGGUAACGGCUUACCAAGGCAACGAUGCGUAGCCGACCUGAAAGGGUGAUCGGCCACACCUGAACUGAGAAACGGGCCAGAAUCCUAAGGGAGGCAGGAGGAGGGAAUCUUCCGCAAUGGGAGAAAGCCUGACGGAGCAAAGCCGCGGGAGUGAUGAAGGUCUUCGGAUUUGAAAACUCUGUUAUUAGGGAAGAACAAAUGUGUAAGUAACUAUGCACGUCUUGACGGUACCUAAUCAGAAAGGCACGGCUAACUACGUG